AUUGAACGCUGGCGGCAUGCUUUACACAUGCAAGUCGAACGGCAGCGCGGGCUUCGGCCUGGCGGCGAGUGGCGAACGGGUGAGUAAUGCAUCGGAACGUGCCCAGUAGUGGGGGAUAGCCCGGCGAAAGCCGGAUUAAUACCGCAUACUACCUGAGGGUGAAAGCGGGGGACCGAAAGGCCUCGCGCUCUUGGAGCGGCCGAUGUCGGAUUAGCUAGUUGGUGGGGUAAAGGCUUACCAAGCCGACGAUCCGUAGCUGGUCUGAGAGGACGACCAGCCACACUGGGACGGAGACACGGCCCAGACUCCUACGGGAGGCAGCAGUGGGGAAUUUUGGACAAUGGGGGCAACCCUGAUCCAGCCAUGCCGCGUGCGGGAAGAAGGCCUUCGGGUUGUAAACCGCUUUUGUUCGGGAAGAAAUCCUCUGGGCUAAUACCCCGGGGGGAUGACGGUACCGGAAGAAUAAGCACCGGCUAACUACGUG
rnacentral:rRNA from 1 species